AUGGCCAUGGCCACUCCUACUCCUCCAAGCGCAUCUUGCUGCCUCGUAGGUCCCGUCCCGUUCACAGAUGUCGUCGGCGGCGAAGAGGACGACCGGAUCACCCCGCCCGAGUGCGGGCAUAUCAUCUCCACCUUGCCGACCAUCGCCUUCAAUGGCCGCUUCGUGCACCACCAAUAUCAGGGCGCUUGGGUGAUCCACGAGAGGAUGCCCGGGGUCCUCUCUUUCCAGCGGCGCUUCACCCCGCGCCCCGGCGACGUGCUCCUCGCGAGCCCGCCCAAGUGCGGCACCACAUGGCUCAAGGCCAUGUCCUUCGCCAUCAUGGCUCGGGCGGCAUACCCGCCCUCCGCCGCUGACCACCCGCUCCGUCGCCUCAACCCACACGAGUGCGUCCCCUUCAUUGACGAUCUAUUCAGCGCAGGGCACGACACCAAGCUGGAGGCGCUGCCGUCGCCUAGACUCAUGAACACGCACAUGCAGCACUCCCUGCUGCCCGCCUCCGUUGCUGACAAUCCCAACGCCAAGAUCGUCUACAUCUGCAGGGAACCCAAGGAUAUGCUGGUAUCCAUGUGGCAUUUUGGCAAUACCAUUCACCCAUGCGAAUUCUCAGAUCUGUUUCAGAGUGUAUGUGAUGGCAAGACCACAGAUGGCCCCAUGUGGGACCACGUUCUUGGUUACUGGAAGGCAAGCAAAGCCAGUCCGGAGAGGGUCUUGUUCCUGAGGUACGAGGAGAUGCUGCUCAUUCCGGUUGACAAUGUCAUAAAGCUGGCGCAAUUUCUCGGGGUGCCGUUCUCAGCUGCCGACGAGCCGGCAAGACUUCCGGCAGACAUUAUGAAGCUGUGUAGCAUUGAGACGAUGAAAGGUCUAGAAGCGAACAAGACAGGCACCUCCGGGCUAUUUUACAAGUUCCCGCAUGAAGCCAACUUCAGGAAAGGGGUGAUUGGAGAUUGGGUGAACCAUAUGACGCCAGAGAUGGCACAGCGCUUGGACGCCAUUGUUGAGGACAAGCUCCUUGGAUCAGGGCUGUCUUUUGGCUCUUAA
rnacentral:rRNA from 1 species